rnacentral:misc_RNA from 1 species
GAUGAGAACGUAGCGAAAUGCGAUACGUAAUGUGAAUUGCAGAAUUCAGUGAAUCAUCGAAUCUUUGAACGCAUAUUGCGCUCUCUGGUAUUCCGGAGAGCAUGCUUGUUUGAGUAUCAGUAAACACCUCAACUCCCUUUUCUUUUUUGAAAUUGGAGCUGGACUUGAGUGAUCCCAACGCUUUCUUCCAAGAAAGUGGCGGGUUGCUUGAAAUGCAGGUGCAGCUGAACUUUUCUCUGAGCUAUAAGCAUAUCUAUUUAGUCUGCCUAAAAAACAGAUUAUUACCUUUGCUGCAGCUAACAUAAAGGAGACUAGUUCUUGUGCUGACUGAUGCAGGAUUCACAGAGACAGCUUCGGCUGACUUUGUAAACUCGAUCUCAAAUCAAGUAAGACUACCCGCUGAACUUAAGCAUAUCAAUAAGCGGAGGA